rnacentral:rRNA from 1 species
AAAUUUGAAAGCUAGCCUUCGGGUUCGCAUUGUAAUUUGUAGAGGAUGAUUUGGGGAAGCCGCCUGUCUAAGUUCCUUGGAACAGGACGUCAUAGAGGGUGAGAAUCCCGUAUGUGACAGGAAAUGGCACCCUAUGUAAAUCUCCUUCGACGAGUCGAGUUGUUUGGGAAUGCAGCUCUAAAUGGGAGGUAAAUUUCUUCUAAAGCUAAAUAUUGGCGAGAGACCGAUAGCGCACAAGUAGAGUGAUCGAAAGAUGAAAAGCACUUUGGAAAGAGAGUUAAAAAGCACGUGAAAUUGUUGAAAGGGAAGCGCUUGCAAUCAGACUUGUUUAAACUGUUCGGCCGGUCUUCUGACCGGUUUACUCAGUUUGGACAGGCCAGCAUCAGUUUCGGCGGCCGGAUAAAGGCUC